rnacentral:piRNA from 1 species
CUGCCUCAUGCCUAGACCAGAAUCAGAU